UUUGCUGGAAAAGAAAACAGCAGAAGCCAAGGUAAAUAACAUUUUUUGUGUGGCGUGUUGCAGCUGUCACAGCCGCCAGCAGACAGCCGACUCCCUUACCAGUAAGCACCGCGGCUUAGGUGUUGCCCACCGGGCACCGGAAGGCGGCCCCGUUCUCUCUCCCCAGUGAACGUUCCUAAAACAUCUGCGAGGUCCAAGAGCACAGGGAGAACAGCGCCCCUGACGCAGGCUGCGCACCCGCCCGGAGGAGGCAGCGCGUCAGUCCUGAGGUCACCGCCACCUGCUCCCGGGGGACGGCCGCCUGAGGCUGUGCUCUGGGCAGGUGAGGAGGCGACCACCUCCCAGACGCCUGCCGGAGCUGCAGCGCGCUCACUCCCCGCUUCUCCGAGCGGCGAGCGCCACCUGGAGGCUCCCUCGAGAUCUGCAUUUAGGAGGCGACGGGUCCUUUCAUUGUUUUAUUCAUUAUACAUUUAUCGAGGCCUGGUGCGAUGGUUCACGCCUGUAAUCCCAGCACUUUGGGAGACCGAGGCGAGCGGAUCACUUGAGCUCAGGAGUUUGAGACCAGCCUGGCCAACAGGACGAAACCCCAUCUCUACUACAAAUACAAAAAUUAGCCGGGCACGGUGGCGCACACCUGUAAUCCCAGCUACUCAUGAUGAGGCUGAGGCACAAGAAUCGCUUGAACCCUAGAGGCAGAAGUUACAGUGAGCCGAGAUGGAGCCACUGUGUGUUAGGCUCUGGUGACGUGGGGAGAAAUAAAGAUAAUGUCUUGUCUCC
rnacentral:lncRNA from 1 species